AACGAACGCUGGCGGCAUGCCUAACACAUGCAAGUCGAACGAGACCUUCGGGUCUAUUGGCGCACGUGGGCUUAACGCGUGGUAACCUGCCCUUAGGUUCGGAAUAACUCCCCGAAAGGGGUGCUAAUACCGGAUAAUGUCUUCGGACCAAAGAUUUAUCGCCUUUGGAUGGGCCCGCGUUGGAUUAGCUAGUUGGUAGGGUAAAAGCCUACCAAGGCGACGAUCCAUAGCUGGUCUGAGAGGAUGAUCAGCCACACUGGGACUGAGACACGGCCCAGACUCCUACGGGAGGCAGCAGUGGGGAAUAUUGGACAAUGGGCGAAAGCCUGAUCCAGCAAUGCCGCGUGAGUGAUGAAGGCCUUAGGGUUGUAAAGCUCUUUUACCCGGGAUGAUAAUGACAGUAACGGGAGAAUAAGCUCCGGCUAACUCCGUG
rnacentral:rRNA from 1 species